UACGUAGGUGGCAAGCGUUGUCCGGAAUUAUUGGGCGUAAAGCGUACGCAGGCGGUUUCUUAAGUCUGAUGUGAAAGCCCACGGCCCAACCGUGGAGGGUCAUUGGAAACUGGGAGGCUUGAGUAUAGGAGAGAAGAGUGGAAUUCCACGUGUAGCGGUGAAAUGCGUAGAGAUGUGGAGGAACACCAGUGGCGAAGGCGACUCUCUGGUCUGUAACUGACGCUGAGGAGCGAAAGCGUGGGGAGCGAACAGG
rnacentral:misc_RNA from 1 species